GAAUUAAACCCAAUAAAAUUAAUCUUUGUCAUUUUCACGGGAAGUCAGCUCUCAUAUUCCAUAAGAAACUUUGCUAAAGCUUUUAAUAAGCUGUGAAACUGAGGUUCAAAAUCGUGCAAAGGUUUUUGGUGAUAACUGCCUUUAAGGUAGAGGUGUUUCAACGGUCAUUGAGAACUGACUGUGAAGCAGAGACUGCAGGGGGUAAAGUACAAACCUGCAAACUUUGGUGAAUUAGUGUAAGAACUUUGGAAUGUUUCAGGAUGAAAUUACUGAACCUUCUGCCUUGUGACAAGUUUUUAAAUAAUUGAUACUGCACUGCACUUGAAGUCCAGUGUGCACUGGUAUGGCACAAACCAAAGCAUCACAUUCUUUCCCAUAAUUAAUUAACUCAGGACUUCCAGAAUCUGAAGUUUUCUUGCUUGCUUCAUAUUCUCUCAAGGUUGCUGAUCUCCCCUAGCAGUUGGUUAUGAGUCUUUUAAUACCUCACCCAAUGGACUUUGGCAUUAAGUCCCAAAUGAGAAAGAUUUAAGCAUAGAUUUAAGAUGAAUGGUUUGUAUAACAAAGAAGACUUAACCAAGGACUGCAAAUAAACUUUUUAAAUUCCUAAUUCUAUUUUAAAUAUCACUUCCCUUACAGUUCUUUCUCACCUGUGAAGUGCUUUGUUCGAGUAGAAAUAAAUAAUUUAACAAGAUUCUUACCGAGGAGAUGGUUUGAUGUCUGUUGAGAAGUCUGGGCUACAAUAUCGCAGAUCUGAUUUACAGAAAAUAGGUUAUCUAAUACAAACUCAUUACAAAAGUGACAGGAUUGGAAGGGAGGAGGAUGGGUCAUUUCUCAUAAGGAAGUGAUGCAUUACUGAUUCUAACAAUGUUAAAAAAAAAUAAUCAAUAGUUUUCUUAUUUCUGCCUUCAUCCUAGGCUGAUAGAUUAAUAGCACUGUCUUUGUUCCACCUGUGCUUCCACUUUACAACUAAUACUGAAAAACACCCUGUUUCCCUUUUAAUUUGUUCCCACUUAUGUGCCACCGCCCAGUGGAGAUCAGUGGGGGGGUAACAAUAGUGCCUACCUACCUCUGUGCCCUGCUGUUCAGAUUCAGUGAAGAGACAGGCUGAAUGCACACCUAGACAGUCGUGAAGACAGUUCAAUACAUGCGCGAUUUAAGCAAAGGAUCCAGCACUGGAUAAUUUGCUACUUGUACAGAGUUCUUCGGUUGCUCAGAUGCCUAAAGCAAGUUACCUGGUGAGAGAUCGUUAGCCUGAAAACAGAACUCAGACUUCAUAAUCAGGAUUACAAUGGGAAAGACUUACAGGGUAACCUCAGCAGAAGCUGCUUGGUUUUUUUCUUUGCGGUGACACCAAAAAAGAAUUACUUUUUGGACUCAUGGAAAAUUAGAAAGAAAAGAGCACAAGAUCGUGACUGGAAAAUGAGCACUUGAAAGAAAUGGACUUUGUUCUUCCACAAAAAAAAAAUCUCCAAAUGAUAGAAACAGGAAACCACAGAUGAAGUUUCUCUGAAAAAGAGAAACUAUACCUGAAGAAGAACAGAGACGAAUCUGAAAGAGGACCAUGUGUUUCCUUUGCCUACUUAAAGGAGGAAGGAGUGAAGCAGAGAACUUAGGUUGAUGGCAAGUGGAGCUCAACUACAGGGAAUAGCAUGCUCCAGGAAAAUUCAGAUUACAUCCAAAAGAAAUUUUCAUUCCCUAGUUUCACACUUCAGAUCACUACGAGCUGUCCUAGCAGAAAAAGUGGGAAGACGGAGAAAGCAGAAAGUCCCGCAUCAGUCCAUAACACAUCACAGAAAUAUUCAAACACAAGUAUUUCAGCACCCCUGUCACUCCUUCUGGCUCAGCGGCAGAGGGAAACUCUGAUGUAAAGCAUCAUAAAAUGUCAGCAGCAAGUUGCAGAAGGCAAAUACAGGCUCCACAGCACCUGGAGCCUCUGCAGGUUUUCAAUAUGCCAGCAGAGGUGAAGAUCUGGAAAGGAAAGACAAGACUUUGGGUAGCUUGCCUUGUCUGAGCCAGCCUUGUACAGCCCAGGCUGCCUCAAUUCAUGCUGCAGUGACAGAUGCUAACGUCUAUCACAGGCAGGGCGUUCUCAUACGGAGCCCAUUCUACUACCCAGCCCAAUCACUACCCAACCAGUUUCCAGGACUGCAUGCCCCAGCUGCAGGAAAGCAGGAUUACACAAAAGACAUCCUCAGAACUGUUUUUGAAAAUAAACCUGAUUUUGAAUGCUGAAGAAAGGAAAGUCAUCCAAUUUGAUGCAGUCAACCUGUAGCAUUGUUAAGAUGCAAUUAAUUCAUCAUGUUGCAACAUGAGUACAUAAGCAUAAAACAAGGAUAAAUGAAGGAGACAACCUCUUUUUUUGGCACACGAACCGAUCCCUAGGAACGCAUGGUGGGUUUGCCUUUUUUGCCUGAUGGAUGCCAACGCUGCAGAACUGCCAAAAAUAUUUGAAGGUUUCUGUCCACUCUGAAUGCAUUUGCGACACAAUAUUGUCACCGGGGAAAUGAAGUAAAGCCAGCAACCCACAUUCCUGAAAACCUAAGAAGCGAAGCUGGCCAUCUUUUUGAAAAACUAUAUGAGUGAAAAAAACCCCAAAAAUCACCAUUGUGUUCUUAAGACAUGCAGUACAAAUUGGGAGUGAAGCGAAAAAGGGACUUUCAUAGAGACUGUCUCCAGUUACCAUUCUUCUGAGCAUGCCUUUAUCAGUUUUGCACCAAGCUCUUCCUCCUGAGGAUGUUCUCAGGCCAAAAUUUAGAAGGCGACUGACAAAAUGCAGAAGGAAGAAGCAAAAAAAAAUAAAAUUAUUGAGACGCUGAAUAACAGGAGUUCACAAUUUAAAAGGCUGCUGACAACCCUCUUACGGCGGGCGCUGUGUUUCAGCAGCUAUGAUUUCAAGAGUGAGCAAAGUGGGUCAUAAACGCUACUGAUAGCCGAAAAUUAGGAGAUGAAGAACACUUCAGAAUGUUUAAGUGUGAUCUUCAGAGAGGUGCGUUACUCCUACACUGCAUUAUACAAUACAGAUAAAAUACAGAAAAGUAACCGAUGUGCUUUAAGGUCAUUGGAGAAAAAAAAACCUCCAUGAAAUCCAACCGAAAAAAACCACCCUACCUUACAAGGAAGAAAAACCUCUCAGCUGGUCAUUGUAUCGCUCACCUGUCUGCCGAGACUUCUCUACCAGUUUUCAUGUGGGAACAAAAGGAGGCAGAAUUGGAGAAAAAUGCUUUUUAAGGAGGAGGGCUUCACAGGAGACCUGAAUGUGCUGCGUGUUUAUCAGAAGUCGAAUAUACAUCAUGGCAGAAAGGAGCUUCUUUGUUUUGAGAAGUGGUACCCAAAUACAGUAUCUGUGACCAUUGUCUUGUGAACUACAGGUCUCAUGGUAGUAGAAAACAGAAAACGUGACUGAAUCUCUGCAAUUUCAUCUGAUGCCCUCUUUUAGGGACACAAUCUCUAUGAUGGUACAAAGACUGUACAGAAAAUAUGACCAGUUGAAAUCCAAAUCCUUGACUUCCAUGGGGAAAACAGGGCAACUACUACGGGCCUGUGCUGUCUGAGAUGCAUCCUCUUAGUACUGCUAAAUGUUCCCUGAUUUUCGUAGUCUUGGUUUCCUGUUGUCCAUGAUGCCCUCUCUUUCUCUCCUCCAUAGCGUUGGGAGUUUGGCUCAAAUAAUGUCCAAGGCAGGUGACUGAUCUACAGAGCCAGCUAAUGAUGAAAUCGCAGGGCAGAUGAGGAUAUAACAUGCCCCAGGGAGGAGUUUUUGGGGAGGAUUAGUGUGUUGUCAAUUAUUGAGAACAGAUGCAGCUUGUAGAGCUUGGGCGGAAAGCUCAUCUGAUUGCUCUUGGCCAAGUUUAGAUGAUGGCUAGUCAACAAAAUGCGAUGCCCAAGAGACUGUGAAACUAAACCCUCUGGAAACAUGUCCAAAGAAUAAACCAAGUGUAAGGCAAUACUGUACUAAUAAAUCAACAGUAACAGAGUCAGAUAUGCGUAUAACGAUUCUGUUUAAACCAUCCGAGGAGCUUAUCAAAGCUAUUCUAUCAAAAUAAUAUACAUAAUUACUUGUAUUAAAUACAAAGAGAUAAUCAGCUUCUAGUUUCCCUCAAAUUUAAUAAAUACUAUUACUUUUUGUAUUUAUGAAGAGAGCAGUCUCUUUCGAUAGCUGCAUGUUACAGCGUCUUCUUGGACAGCAUUUUUAACUCCUCACUAUUCCUGGAGUCCACUAGUUCCAAAAAUGUCACGAAGACAGGAUCUGGCAUGGUGAGUCCUUGAUGCAGCGUAUCAGAAUUACAGACUGACUAGUUACAAAGUAGAAAUUCCUAAAUAAAAAUAAAACAGUGUUGGAAGGGAAGCUUGCUAAAUAUCUGCACUGGUAACCCUGGGCAGUCAAUAGGAAUGCUACGUAAAAUGUAGAAGUAUACAAAAUUAGCAAAAUACAAACUAAAGGUGAAUGCUAUUUAAAAGAUAUAUCUACAUUACGGAAUACAAUAGAGUGAAUUAAUUGCCAAUUACAAGGUAAUUAACUGUUUCAGAGUAGGAUGUGUAUUGUACAUUUUCUCCAUAUGACUUUCAAAUGGAACAUGUCAAUCAGUGCUACAGCAGAAUAUGAAGCUAUUGCUUGCAUCAAAUAGCAUUUUAUGAUGUGAAGUAAGAUAACAUUCGGCAUGAAUAAUUAUCACAAUUUGGCCUUUUGUCCGUGUUCAAAGUUCAGCAGGAACCUACUGGAAAUUGUACUUUCACCAUUUUAUUUUUCAUCUGUAAAAUGUAACUGCUGCUUAAAUGAAAGCACUCAACACCAUUGCCCAAAAAUAUUUUGGAUGUUGGAAAAUGGAUAACUUCAAAACCAUGUAUUCAGUUUCUCCCACUUGGACAGUCAGCUGGCAUGAGGCACGAUUUAAGCAAAGACAUACACCGAAGUAGGACAUUGAACAUACUGGCCAAUUGGAGACUGACCACCCAGUAUCACCAGCAGCCAGGAGUACAGCCAUACCCACAAGGGGGAACCCCUAGCUAAAAACCUGGGGAAGUCACAGCCAACACCACCUACAUCCCUUGUGGAGGCACCCAUCUCCGACCCUGGAGCCCUUUCUCUGCCCAUUUUUCAGCCCGGACUUCACCUUGAUUCUCCAUAUCCCAUGUGUCAAUGGAGUUUUUCCUUUUUCCUGAGACGGCUUCCCUCUUUCCGUUAUAUUCUCAGAACAAACAAGAAAGUCAAGAAAAUGAAAACAAGUGCCAAAAAGAAGAAAAAGAGUUCUUGUUUUCUGGCCCCAAUGUAGAUUUCAGGAUGUAAAGUAAAUGUUUAUUCUUACAUUAGAAUAAAUGGUCCCUGAUUAGACCUGAAUUACUUGUAUUAAUGACCACUGCAAUUUGCAGUUAGUUCCCUGGAAGGAAAUUUCACGCAUUAAGUCAUUCAUCUUUAGUUCUUCUGUUUCCAUAGGCACUGGAAACAGCAGUGAAAGCUCUCGGGAUUCCUUGGGUGAUGAACAGAUGGGUGAGGGCCUUUCUAAAGUGCAGGCGUAGGGUUCAUAUCUACACGAGUUCUCUAGCUUCUCCUGGGCCGUAUUUCCAGGAGGCAGAUGUUCUAGCUUAAUGUAUGGCUUUUUCCUUUUAGUCACAUGUGUAUAUCUGGGUGAGAACCUCUUUUUGCUGUUUAUACGAGCAGUAAUAUCCCCCACCCCAAAGGGGAAAAGCUCUUUAAAUGGAAAAACACUGUUUCACCAGGUACAAAAGGUUACCCCAGCACUAAAAGCAAUGGUUAUUGAUGCUUCCCCCCAGGGAAGGUUCUUGCUGUCUGUGU